rnacentral:rRNA from 1 species
UACGUAGGCAGCAAGCGUUGUUCGGAAUCACUGGGCGUAAAGGGCGCGUAGGCGGCCUGAUAAGUAGGGGGUGAAAUCCUGCGGCUUAACCGCAGGGCUGCCUUCUAAACUGUCAGGCUAGAGCACAGUAGAGGCAGGUGGAAUUCCCGGUGUAGCGGUGGAAUGCGUAGAGAUCGGGAAGAACAUCAGUGGCGAAGGCGGCCUGCUGGGCUGUUGCUGACGCUGAGGCGCGACAGCGUGGGGAGCAAACAGG